GAAGGACCCGGAUGACAGUGUACAGCGCAUGCGCGAAAAUUCUGGCGGCAGGCUGAGGUUAGGCAAGUGAAGGGGGCGUGUUCUGAGACAAAGUUAGAUUUCGUCUGUGGUGGUGCCAAACAUGAAAGAAUUAAUAAAAGACAGCCUCGUUCUCAUUCCCGUUAAAAAUCAAAGAUUGGCGCUGCUGUGAAUAAGAUGAAGGUGGUUCGAGGCACCGGUGUACACAUGAAUACAGGACAUCUUAUCAGAGUGAAUGGACAAAUAAAUAAUGAAAGAAAGGAAAAGACGGAUAUCUGAAAACAUGCCAUCUGAGCAGAUAAGUGACAUAUC